UCUUGCGCCAUAUGUACUGAGAUUGUUCGGGAGACAUGGUAAAAGCACGG
rnacentral:rRNA from 1 species